GAUGAACGCUAGCGGCAGGCUUAAUACAUGCAAGUCAAGGGGUCAGCAAUGGCACCGGCGGACGGGUGAGUAACGCGUACACAACGUACCUUUAACUGGGGGAUAGCAUUUGGAAACGAGUGGUAAUACCGCAUGUGGUUGUAGGGAGGCAUCUUUUUGCAACUAAAACUCAGGUGGUUAAAGAUCGGUGUGCGUCCGAUUAGCUAGUUGGUGAGGUAAUGGCUCACCAAGGCGACGAUCGGUAGGGGCGUGAGAGCGUGAACCCCCACACGGGUACUGAGACACGGACCCGACUCCUACGGGAGGCAGCAGUAAGGAAUAUUGGUCAAUGGAGGCAACUCUGAACCAGCCAUGCCGCGUGAAGGAAGAAGGCGCUAUGCGUUGUAAACUUCUUUUGGGUGGGAAGAAAAUGGUCAAUUUAUUGACAACUGACGGUACCAUCAGAAUAAGCACCGGCUAACUCCGUGCCAGCAGCCGCGGUAAGGCUACGUAGA
rnacentral:rRNA from 1 species